UACGUAGGGGGCUAGCGUUGUCCGGAAUCAUUGGGCGUAAAGAGCGUGUAGGCGGCCAGGUAGGUGGGUUGUGAAAACUGGAGGCUCAACCUUCAGACGUCGACCCAAACCCCCCUGGCUAGAGUGCGGUAGGGGUGACUGGAAUUCCUGGUGUAGCGGUGGAAUGCGCAGAUAUCAGGAGGAACACCGAUGGCGAAGGCAGGUCACUGGGCCGCAACUGACGCUGAGGCACGAAAAGCGUGGGGAGCAAACAGG
rnacentral:rRNA from 1 species